GGCGGAAUAAUGCGUCAUGAGGAUGACUGCGUGCGUUUGAAGGUAAAACUUGAGCUUCUAGGUUGCAAUCACUAUCGCCAAAGUUAGCUUUUGAAUUUGUGAUAGCAUCGAUAAGAGCUUUUGAACUGUGGAAUACAGAUAGUCGGGCCCCCAUCUCUUCUCGCUUGAUGGUAGAGCUUAUUGCUGCUUUAGAUACCGUCAAACAUGCGAAUAAGUCCUCCGCUGCUUCCAGUUUGGAUAGUAAGAAGGUGAUGUUGGGUACUUCUUCAAGUCCUUGAAUGUGUAUUGGCGAGCCUCGUCCCAAAAUGCUUGCUUCUCUACAGAGCGAAAGAGUCUGCCAGAUUUAUAUCUUCUUUCAUGAUCAAUUUUUUGAAUAACGGGUGGUCUGCUGGAAUUAUUUUUUAGAAGGCUGCUCUAGCUAUCAAGUCGUUGCAUCCGACUAUCCGUGCCUUCUCUACUUUGAACCUAUUCACAGUUGUGAAAAGACUCAUUUGGGUUCUUCUUGAUGUUGAACAAAUGGUCGGACUUUUUUUUUUUCGAGUAAUAGGAUGAAUAUUCUUUGGUGAAAACCAAAGAAAGUUAAUCGAAACUCCAGAUGGAUUGUGGUGGCAGGGUGUAGAACCAAUCUUGCACCUCACCUUGUAGAGUGGUGGCGAAUAUCUUGCACAUGAGACCGUUGUUGUUUCGAUAGAGGAUCAUUAUGCUUUGGUAGUGCUUUAAAUGUCUCUCCAAGUCUUCCUCCCCUUUGAAAGAUGUGAAAUGUGGCAUGCUGAACUCGCGUGGAGGCUCUGCCUGUUCGAUCUCGUUCGUGAAGGGUGACCUACUUAUGUUGGUCAUGUUUCGUCAUAGUGCCUCUUCGGUGACCUCGUUGCGUUGGAAAUUGAGAAAUCGCUUGGUCAAAAGUCUCUCUAUUUCUUUCUGAAUUUGCCUUUGUUGGGGGUAGCGAAGCUUUCGGUUACCCUCAACCAUGACUUGCUGGUCUAG
rnacentral:lncRNA from 1 species